rnacentral:rRNA from 1 species
GGCGAACGGGUGAGUAACACGUGGGCAAUCUGCCCUUCACUCUGGGACAAGCCCUGGAAACGGGGUCUAAUACCGGAUAACACUCUGUCCUGCAUGGGACGGGGUUGAAAGCUCCGGCGGUGAAGGAUGAGCCCGCGGCCUAUCAGCUUGUUGGUGGGGUAAUGGCCUACCAAGGCGACGACGGGUAGCCGGCCUGAGAGGGCGACCGGCCACACUGGGACUGAGACACGGCCCAGACUCCUACGGGAGGCAGCAGUGGGGAAUAUUGCACAAUGGGCGAAAGCCUGAUGCAGCGACGCCGCGUGAGGGAUGACGGCCUUCGGGUUGUAAACCUCUUUCAGCAGGGAAGAAGCGCAAGUGACGGUACCUGCAGAAGAAGCGCCGGCUAACUACGUGCCAGCAGCCGCGGUAAUACGUAGGGCGCAAGCGUUGUCCGGAAUUAUUGGGCGUAAAGAGCUCGUAGGCGGCUUGUCACGUCGGAUGUGAAAGCCCGGGGCUUAACCCCGGGUCUGCAUUCGAUACGGGCUAGCUAGAGUGUGGUAGGGGAGAUCGGAAUUCCUGGUGUAGCGGUGAAAUGCGCAGAUAUCAGGAGGAACACCGGUGGCGAAGGCGGAUCUCUGGGCCAUUACUGACGCUGAGGAGCG